GCCCUUUUCCGGUUGAUCCUGCCGGAGCCACUGCUAUCGGGGUUCGAUUAAGCCAUGCGAGUCGAGAGGUGCAAGACCUCGGCAUACUGCUCAGUAACACGUGGACAACCUACCCUGAGGAGGGGGAUAACCCCGGAAAACUGGGGAUAAUACCCCAUAGGCCAGGGAUGCUGGAAUGCCUCCCGGUUGAAAGGUCCGCCGCCUCAGGAUGGGUCUGCGGCCGAUUAGGUUGUUGUUGGGGUAACGGCCCAACAAGCCAUUGAUCGGUACGGGUUGUGGGAGCAAGAGCCCGAAGAUGGAUUCUGAGACACGAAUCCAGGCCCUACGGGGCGCAGCAGGCGCGAAAACUUUACAAUGCGAGAAAUCGUGAUAAGGGAACCCCGAGUGCCCGUAAAUUCGGGGCUGUCCAUCAGUGUAAAAAAACUGGUGAAGAAAGGGCCGGGCAAGACCGGUUGCCAGCSSCCGCGGUAAUACCGGCGGCUCGAGUGGUGGCCGCUAUUAUUGGGCUUAAAGCGUCCGUAGCUGGGUUGUUAAGUCUCCUGGGAAAUCCACCGGCUCAACCGGUGGGCGUUCGGGAGAAACUGGCAACCUAGGGACCGGGAGAGGUGAGAGGUACUCCAGGGGUAGGAGUGAAAUCCUGUAAUCCUUGGGGGACCACCUGUGGCGAGGGCGUCUCACUAGAACGGCUCCGACAGUGAGGGACGAAAGCUGGGGGAGCAAACCGGAUUAGAUACCCGGGUAGUCCCAGCUGUAAACGAUGCGCGUUAGGUGUAUCGGUGACCACGAGUCACCGAGGUGCCGAAGGGAAACCGUGAAACGUGCCGCCUGGGAAGUACGGUCGCAAGGCUGAAACUUAAAGGAAUUGGCGGGAAGGGC
rnacentral:rRNA from 1 species